GCUGGCGCUGGCGUACGGGGACCUCGAGGUCGUCGGGAUCGACCUGGACGCCCCGUCGGUCGCUGCGGCCCGGCGGCAC
rnacentral:tRNA from 1 species